GCCUGAUGCAGCGACGCCGCGUGAGGGAUGACGGCCUUCGGGUUGUAAACCUCUUUCAGUAGGGACGAAGCGCAAGUGACGGUACCUAUAGAAGAAGGACCGGCCAACUACGUGCCAGCAGCCGCGGUAAUACGUAGGGUCCGAGCGUUGUCCGGAAUUACUGGGCGUAAAGAGCUCGUAGGUGGUUUGUCGCGUUGUUCGUGAAAACUCACAGCUCAACUGUGGGCGUGCGGGCGAUACGGGCAGACUAGAGUACUGCAGGGGAGACUGGAAUUCCUGGUGUAGCGGUGGAAUGCGCAGAUAUCAGGAGGAACACCGGUGGCGAAGGCGGGUCUCUGGGCAGUAACUGACGCUGAGGAGCGAAAGCGUGGGGAGCGAACAGGAUUAGAUACCCUGGUAGUCCACGCCGUAAACGGUGGGUACUAGGUGUGGGUUUCCUUCCUUGGGAUCCGUGCCGUAGCUAACGCAUUAAGUACCCCGCCUGGGGAGUACGGCCGCAAGGCUAAAACUCAAAGAAAUUGACGGGGGCCCGCACAAGCGGCGGAGCAUGUGGAUUAAUUCGAUGCAACGCGAAGAACCUUACCUGGGUUUGACAUGCACAGGACGCCGGCAGAGAUGUCGGUUCCCUUGUG
rnacentral:rRNA from 1 species